UAAACGAGUAACAAAAAUAUGAUAUUUCUUUUUAAUCUUUUUAUUAUUAUUUCUUGUUCCAGCCUGGAAAGUCGUGGAUCCAGACCACCUUUUACAAGAGGGAAUGUGUGAAGUUUUUGCCAGCAUCACGAGAUCAUCACAGGUGUUCUUCUUAAAUGCUUAUCGUCAGAACUACUUUAAGAAUGUUUUCUAAAUGAAAUAUUUUGGAGUAUUUCUGAGUGGAAUUCUCUCUGGUGUUUUUCAGGUGUUCUCCGGUUUGCCAUGUCUGUCAAAACUUAGUCAGGUGCUGCUGUGGGAGGCUGAUAGGAGAGCAUGUGUACCUGGACUCCGCCUCCCCGGUGCUGUCCUCCUCCUCCUCCUCGUCCGGUCAGGAGGUAUGGUCCGUGGCUCGGCACACCAAACUCAGCCCAACCGACGCCUUUGGGUCCAUCGACUUCCAGGGCAGCACCAAGCGGUCCUGUCGCGCCAAGGUGUGUGGUGGUGUCCCUGGAGCCGGUUUAUUACGAUAAAAACACAAAUUACACAUUCGUUAUUAUUCAACUUGUUUCAUCACAAUGCUCAAAGUGUCGAACUAUAACAAACUGUCCCGCAUCACACACAUUGCCUCAAAGAUCAUAGGCCUCCCCUCACAUAACCUGACAACCCUAAAUAACAAGGCCAUCUGAGGAAGGGCUAUCACAAUAACACAAGACCCGGACCACCCAUUAUACACUGUUUUCACUUUGCUCCCAUCAGGUCAGAGAUACAGAACAAUAGCUUGCAGAAAAACACGCUUU
rnacentral:lncRNA from 1 species